CUUUGUUCUUAUUGGUUGCACCUUUAUCUCUUCUUUGACUUUCUCAAAGAAAGAAGACUCAAGAAACUCUUUUGCUCCCAUUUCCCAAGGAUCCAUGCAAAUCAGAAAUUUGCACCUCACUUUACACUCUUUUCUCUUAAGGAAAGUGCUAGGAAGCUCCCUUGAGUCUUCCUCUCAAGUCCACCGGUUCACACACCAAAAGAAAGACAAAACCCCACCCAAAAGUCUUCCCCUUAUGUCAUUUUCUUGGCUGCACCAGACAGAAAGUCCAGCAGCAAGAAGGAAGCUUCUUUCAACUCUCUCAAGCUCUCUACCUCUCAUACUUUCUGGUCCAGCCACUAGGAAAGGAAAAUCCUUUCAUGUGUUACCAGUAUCCAAGUCAAAGCUCCUUCGACUUUAGGCUCUCGGUUCCUCUGCUUUCAGUUAGCAGGUUUUAUUUUGGAGUAGAGGGAGCCUUAGUCGAGUUUUGGAAGGAGCUGGUUUAGUUUUAUAUGUAUAGAUCCUAAAUUAGCAAUAUGAUGUUUAGAUUUGUAGCAUUGUUUAUUUUAGGAUCUAAUGAAAGCGUAUACCUUAAAGUAUUAAGAGAUGUAUUAUGUGGAAUUCCGAAUUUGAAAUUGGUGAAUUAUGUUAUUCUUUGGAGUACAAUGUAGAUGCUCUGAAUGUCAAGUGAAA